rnacentral:rRNA from 1 species
AGCGAACGCUGGCGGCAGGCCUAACACAUGCAAGUCGAACGAACCUUUCGGGGUUAGUGGCGGACGGGUGAGUAACACGUGGGAACGUGCCUUUAGGUUCGGAAUAACUCAGGGAAACUUGUGCUAAUACCGAAUGUGCCCUUCUGGGGAAAGAUUAAUCGCCUUUAGAGCGGCCCGCGUCUGAUUAGCUAGUUGGUUGAGGUAAUGGCUCACCAAGGCGACGAUCAGUAGCUGGUCUGAGAGGAUGAUCAGCCACAUUGGGACUGAGACACGGCCCAAACUCCUACGCGAGGCAGCAGUGGGGAAUCUUGCGCAAUGGGCGAAAGCAUGACGCAGCCAUGCCGCGUGAAUGAUGAAGGUCUUAGGAUUGUAAAAUUCUUUCACCGGGGAAGAUAAUGACGGUACCCGGAGAAGAAGCCCCGGCUAACUUCGUG